rnacentral:rRNA from 1 species
GAUGAACGCUGGCGGCGUGCCUAAUACAUGCAAGUCGAGCGAACAGACGAGGAGCUUGCUCCUCUGACGUUAGCGGCGGACGGGUGAGUAACACGUGGAUAACCUACCUAUAAGACUGGGAUAACUUCGGGAAACCGGAGCUAAUACCGGAUAAUAUAUUGAACCGCAUGGUUCAAUAGUGAAAGACGGUUUUGCUGUCACUUAUAGCUGGAUCCGCGCCGCAUUAGCUAGUUGGUAAGGUAACGGCUUACCAAGGCAACGAUGCGUAGCCGACCUGAGAGGGUGGUCGGCCACACUGGAACGGAGACACGGUCCAGACUCCUAAGGGAGGCAGCAGUAGGGAAUCUUCCGCAAUGGGCGAAAGCCUGACGGAGCAACGCCGCGUGAGUGAUGAAGGUCUUCGGAUCGUAAAACUCUGUUAUUAGGGAAGAACAAAUGUGUAAGUAACUAUGCACGUCUUGACGGUACCGAAUCAGAAAGCCACGGCUAACUACGUG